UCAACCUUACCAACGUUUGGUUUUACAUUUUCUUGAAUGCGCAAUUUUAAAUGAGAUACGAGGGGUUAAAGUUCACAAAAAUGCAUGAUUUUGACCGUACGGAAGACCAGAAAAUUUCUCCACCCCAUUCGGUCAACGAUUUUCUCUUCUCGCUCACUUUUCGUUGACUUGAAAGCCGUUCAGUCUCUUUUGUUUUCCAACAGAGGCCACGCGUCGUCAGCAACAGUUGAGGUAUUGGAGAGCGCACCUCAACGGUUUUUGAUGACGUGAUCCGAACUUGGCGCGCCGCUGAUAUCAUUGGCGUCUUUAGUAGCGGCAAUUCCUGCGCAGAUUGUGGCACUGCCCUUUAACCGGGAAACCAUCCCGAUGUCAUUUCCGUAGGGUCGACAUCGAAGAAUGAUGUCAUUUCCGGUUUCAGCUCUCGCAGACCUUCUGCCAAGACAAAAAUAAACAAACCAGAGAUUUCGGCGCCCGGAGAAUUUAUAGUUUCUGCUGGUACUGAAAAUCCGAAAGAUUAUAAAAAUUUGUCCGGAACAAGCAUGGUUGGAUUUAAUUGCGUGUCCACAUGUCGCUGGUGUCGUCGCCUUGCUCUUGUCUGCUAAUCCAACCUGGAAGUAUGAUGAUGUUUUGGCUGCCAUGACAAGGACUGCGGAUCGUCCCCCUGUCACAAGGAAAUGUGGAAACUCAACAGAAAAUGGCCAUCCCAAUUACGCUUAUGGCUAUGGUCGAGUCAAUGCCAAAAAUGCAGUUGGAUUGUAACAUGAGUACUUUGUAUAAAUUAAAUACAUCUCCAAACAUUAUUAAAGUUACAAUAGUUUUAACUGGUACGCGACGAGUGAAUAUUUGUGUAAAUUAAAUAAAUCUCAAUCAUCACAUGUUUACUUAAGGUUUCACUAAAAAGUACGGCUUAUUUGUUUAAUUAUAUCACCUGUUAACUCUGUACUAAACUCUAUAUAUACUUUCUAGCAGUUACAUUUGAUGGAGUAGUUAACCAAAACUUAGGUUUUACAUAAAUUAUUGUAACACUACUCGUGCUGACUCAUCAUCCAUAGGUGAAAAUGAGUCUUGGUUUUUUUAGGUAUUGGGCGAUAUCUAAAAUUCAAAGAUUGACAUCGAUGACUCAUAAUUUAGAAGAUUGAGUGUGUAUGAUUGUAUUUUUUAAAUAUUUUGCUGCAUUGUUCUUUCUCUUCGGCAAGAUAACUUUAAUACGUAUUUACAUGGAAUGUCUAGAUUUUAAUAUUGUAAAAGCCCAUGCGGGAUUAUUGCUAUGUGUUUAUCACCAGUUAUAAAAUUAUAUAAUUAAUAAACCACACAUGUUUUAUUAAGUACGUGCACCUAGAUAAAGUGUUACUCCAUUUGCAAUUUACUAAUCUAUAUAAAGUGUGUCCCACAAAGAUGUGAGGUUGAAGGCUAGUAAAUACUCCAUAGUUACCAAUGAAUGUAAUUCCAAGCGUUCAGCCCCACAUCUUUUUGGAGCACACUGUAUAUUUAGGUAAAUUAGUAGUUUUCAUACAAUCGGAUGCUAUCCAAAAAGUCUAAUUAAUUUCGAUAAUUACAUGCUUCACAAGUCCACGGUGUAAUAAAUUUAUUAGACAAUUAGAGGUUCGCAUGACGUAUCGCGUAACGCAAACGCAGUCAUAAAUAUAUAACAUUGCUACGGUUACCUUACGUGAUACGUCAUGCAAAUCUCUAAUUGCCUAUUAUACAAAUUUUAUACCAAUAAGAAAAACCACAAAUACUUGUAGUAAAUAAGUUCCAUUUCUAGUUAUUGUCGGGCUAUAAAACAGAUACAUGUAACAUAAAAUUAUGUUAA